UGUUUAUUCUGUCCACAAUAGAUUUGCUUACGACACCGAUGUCGCUCUUCGCGGGAUUAGUGAGGCGGCAAGACGGCUUAUUUUCAAAAUUAUCCUUAUGGUCUUUUAGGGUAACGAAUGCUUGUCGUUUCGCCAUACAUUCUGCUCUGUCUCCGAUAUUCAACGUGCUUGCGAGGACUUUUGCUUCUUGAAUUAUUUUGUUGUAAGCUUCGCUGCUGGCUUUUUUGUAUGUUGAUGUUAUGUUGUCGUGGAGUAGUUUGUCGUACGAGGUUUUUUCAAGCUUGUACAUGUUGGUUGUUUUAUCUGCGGGAAUGAAUGCCUUGGU